AAUCAAGCCAGGAGGCUAUAAUUAGAAAGAAGACUUCCUUAAAUAUUAAAAAUGUAAUCAUUGCAAACUAGGUUGAGGAGAAAUGAUUAAUAGGGUUGGACAGUUUCUCUCACACAGGCAUCAGGGUAAAUUCCCAAGAUGCCAAACCAUGAAACAGAACUUUUAUGGAGACCGCUAACAUUUAUUUUCGGUUCUUCCUGAGAAAAGCACCCAGGCAUAGGUUCCUUAAGUGAUCUUAAAUUGUCUUGUAAGCAUUUUAUAUGUGGGAAGCACUUAGGAAAUAAUUGUUGAAUGAAUUAAUUAAUGAAGAAAUGAAUGAAUUAAUGAAGGAAUGAAUGCAAAAACAAACAGCUAUGAAAAAAAGCUAAAAAAAAUUCUGCCUACUUAUGCAAGAUGCUAAUCAUAGCAUUCCAUAAUGCUAAUGGAUAAUUAGCCCAUUUUGAACUUUGGGAAGAGGACCAGUCUGAUGCAUACACACUUUUCUCAGUGUGGAGUUCUGUUGGCUUAGGGGUUCUAGUUCCCAAGGAAGGAUGAUUAUUUCAGGUGAAUUGACAAUGAUUCCAUUAAGAUGGAAGUUGAGACUGCUACCUGGCCAUUGUGGAUUUGAAACCAUACCCCAAAGAGUUAAAGAAACCAGUGACUGAUAGAAACUCUUGACCUCACAGGAUGACAGAUAAGAAAAGAUAUAACUUGCUGAAAUGCUGAAACUCUCUGCUAAUGAGAUUAAAAUGCUGGCUAAAUCUGUUAAAAGUAAUAUGGCCGAUUGGAGUCUGCACAGAAUGAACCUGCUGGUGUCAGGGACCACAUUUCCACAGCAUGUUUCAUACUAACUCCCAUUGAAAUUGCACAUGUGACCCAUGAAGAGAAAAGAAGAGAUAACUCUGCAUGCCUGAGGACUUUCCAGAUAUCCCCUUUCCUUGCAUUAGUCACCUGCUAAUCUCAGAAUCCAUCUCCCAAACUGUUUCUAAUAAGAAUACGGCCUUAGAGCCAGCACAGGGAGACAGGUUUGAGAUACACUCCUAUCACCUUAUUGGUCAAUCUGCAAUAAAAAUAAUUUGUUUACUCAAAACUCCCGUGUGAUAGUAUUGGCUUCUAGCACAUUGAGCAGUGAGCCCCUUUUCUCAGUAACAGAUUCUUCUGUUGUGGAACAAAUAGUAAAAAUAAAAGAAUUACUAUACUAGCUGGUAUGAAUAUGAGCUCAAGGAUCACCUUUUCCCUUACCCCUUUUCUUAGCGUAACUACUCUCACCAUCAAUGCACCCAGAGACUACAUGACUUCCUUCUUUGAAUUUCUUCUGUAUCUUAGAUUCAUAACAAAACACUUACAUACUUUGCUGAGUUUACUUCUGACACAUCUGACUUUUAAGGACAAGGUCUGAUUUUUUUCCUCAGCAGCUGACAUGGAACAGGUACUUAAGUAUUUGGUGGCUGAAGGACUGAAUAGUUAAAUGAAAGAUCGGUUUAUGAGAAAGAUGAUGGGAUAAUAUCUGCUUCAGCCUCCAACAAAACAAUUUAAGAAAUAGAAUUGGCCCACAUAUGUGUUGAUGGCCUACAGAAGAAAACAGCAGAUUUUAUUCAUUUCAACAUGACUACAUCUUUCAUCGUGCAUGAGACAGAAAAACUUUCUUACCCACUCAUUUUACAAAAUUAGAAAAUUAAGGUGCAGAAAAACAAAAUCAUUUACUUAAGAUCACAUAGCAGUGUGGCAAAAUGAGGGCUAGACUCAUAUUGUAUCAGCUUCAGGCUAAUAUUCCUCAUAAUGUAUGUCAUGUUGUUUCACAAAAUUUAUAUCAAAUACAUGUUUAAAUAAGAAAAGUAGACAAUAACGUCCAGGAGCUCUUAAUGUUCACUGAGUAAGUAUUGUUUUUUCUACCCCAUUUAACCCAUAACAUACCAGGAAAGUAGAUAUAACUACCAUCUGGGCACAAUAGUCCCUUUUUAUUUUGUAUAUGUUUGUCAUCUCAUGAAUAAUUACAAAAGUAAGCAUAAAGGUAGAGUGGGAAAAAACCUUAUUAGACAUUUUAAUAAGAAUUAAAUAUAGCACACCCAAAUAUUUAUUCCAUAUGUUCCUGAUUUUAAAGAGAGGCAGAUAAAUAGGUAGACACAGAAAGAAAAAGAAGGAAGGAAGGAGGGAGGGAGGGAAGGAAGGAAGGAAGGAAGGAAGGAAGGAAGGAAGGAAAGAAGGGAGGGAGGGAUAGAUAGAAAAGUCAAUGUACUUUGAAUUCAACUAGAGAGACAUAUCCAGCUUAUAAAUUCUGAUCUCAGAUUUCAAAUAUAUCUCUGCUAGGCUCUGUCUUGUCAUUACUUCUAAUUCUGCUUCAUGCAGUUGUAUCAUCAAAAUGUGAUCCUUGAUAAACUUCAAUGGUACAUAAUUUUAUUGAAAAGAAAAUGGUCAUCUUAUUUGAUCCUUAAUUAUAACACAUUUUAAUUUUUAGAUUUAUAAAUACCAAUUAGAAUGAUGAAUGCAAUCAAUUUUUUCAUUACUACAGCAUCUAUUUUUUACUACUCAACUUUGUAUAUACAACUGUUUAUCCAUUUAUUAAUGAUAUCAAGUAAAUUUCAGUGCACAAGCUUUAUGAACGAUGAAAGAAUGUGUAAUAUGCCUUUUGGCACAAUAGAAUAGUCUAGAUUCUGGUCACAAAAUAUUUGCAUAAUAAAGUCUGUUCUGUUGCAUGACCAUGAAAAUAUUACAUUUUCAUUUUGCCCUUAGAAAUGUGUAAUUCAUUCAUCUAUUACUGAAUUUGGGAAAAUUUACCUAAGAUACUGUUAUCUGAAGCCUCAUUAAAAUUUUUAUUAUACAAUCAAUUUCACACCAUUAUUAGAAUGUCAAAGACCACUCUUGUCUCCCUGCAUUUAUCUUCGUCUAGCCAAUUUGUAAACUGUUUCUCUGUCAACUCCUUCUUUUUGUCAUUAUGGAGAAACAUUAAAAAAAUUCCUGGAUUCUCAACGUACUUAAUAAAAGCUAAGAAAUAAACUAUAAAGAUGAUGGUUCCAGACUUCUUUUAUAUCUUCUUAAAAGAUGAUAUAAAACUUUAAGCAAAACAAUGAAAAAAACCGAAGGAUGGUAUAAUAGUAAUGAUUUGACUAUUUCAUUAUUCCUCUGGGCUAUUUCAUCAUUCUUUUUCAUUGUAGUUAGGAAUAAUUGAUAAUAUACAGGAAGGUAAGAUCACUGAAAUUCAAUAACCUGUGUUAGAUUGAGAAAAUACUGAUUGACAUCAGAUGGAGCCAUAUAAUAAUUGUAAUAUAAAAUCAGUUUUAUUAUAUCUUUUAAAAGAGCAAGUAAAUGUUUUUCUUUGUUCCUUGGAAAACAUCAAAGACAAAAAUAAAAAUCAUGAUAUACCAACCUUUACAAAUAAAUAGAACUACUCAAAAAAUAAACUAAAAACUCAAAUUGGGCCCAGUGUUUUGUACCUUUUCAUCUAAUAAGAUCUCUCCCAUGCAUUAAAACAGAUGAGGAACAAAACAAUGAGCUUGCAUAUAGAUAACUGAGUUUGCUUUUCUGGUCCUGGCUUGGACAUAGACCUUUAUCAUGGCUGCUAUUUGCCUGACUACCUGCCUUGGAACUCCCCAUUCCCACCAAGACCCAGGCUGAGUAAAAGAGUCAUCACUCACAGCUGAAGAUUUGCCCAUCAUGAGCAACCCUCUCAAAGUGGUGGGCAGUCCUGCUGGAAUAUCAUGGCCAACUUUGUCAGGAAGAAUGUUUUUGCAGAGAGAAGAAUGAAAACCACAAAAUAAACAUCUACAGUAACUCUGGUGCUGAAACUGAGGAAGUAUGACAUCCAGAAAGGGUCUGACUGGUGUUUUAAAUAUAUCUUUUCUCUUUCCUUUUGUCCUGAGCCUGUCCCCCUUCUGGCCUCUUUUGGCUUGGUUUAUUCCUCUUCAUUCUAUGAUUACAUCACAUGAACCCAGCUCAGCAAUGGAAGGCAAGAGGAAGAUUUAACUUAUUUGUAGGAAGUUUUCCUUAUGGAAUGUCACUAUUUUCCUGAGACAAAUUCUGAUUUUUUCAAAGUUUUGAAGUUUAUUCAUCUCUUUCUUAAAGACAGUAACUGUAAAUUCGUGGUUUGCAGGUUGAACUAGGCUGUCUUAUGAGCUUUCUUUGGCCAACUGAGCAUUACUUGAGUUCAAGUUCCAUUACUAUGUCAUAAGUUUCCAUUAUUUGUAUUCUGCAUUUUCACACUUGCACAUGACUUGUCUGCUUAUCAAGCAUAUGCAUAUGAAAUGUCUGCUUUAACACCAUCUGAUUUUUAACCUUUUUUAACCUUUAAAUAAAGAAUUUCCAAAUAUGUAUUUUCUUUCUCUCCCACAAAAAGAUGAACCUUUAAAACACUCUCUAGUUUAUCCAAGAUAUAUAUAUAUAUAUAAAGUUUUAUCCAUAUAUUUAUGGAUAAGAAGACUGUUUCCUGUCUCGUGAACAACAAAUAAGGACAAUGGACUACAUGGUGCAUUCAUUCAUACAAAAAGUUAAGGUAAGGUGACUACAGAUGAAUAGUGUGAAAGGUUCGUUUCUUCCUUUAAGGUGAGGCAACAGUUCUGUAUCUGAGCUGUAGUGGCACAUUAAUCUGUAAAUGGGAUAAAUUUUCUUAUGACUACACACAUAAAAAAUGAGUACCUGUAAAAACUGAUGAAAUUUGAGUAAGAUCUGUAGACUAGUUACUUGUAUUAUAUCAAUGUCAAUUUCCUAGUUUUAGUAAUGAACUCUAGUUAUAUAAAAUAUUACCAUGGGAAGUGAGAGGAAGGUAGCUGUUUGAAGAGUACACCAGAUCUCUCCACACUAUUUUUGCAACUUCUUGUGAGUCUAUAACCAGUUCAAAAUAAAGAAGUUAAUGGAAAUGUUGAGAGUUCAUUCCAUUGUUUAUCCCUUUUCAGAGAAGCUGAUGCCUGAUACUUUAACUACAACACAAGUUAUCUGUGCAAAAUGCAAUCCAUUUAAUUUGAAAAACUCAAUAGGGAUCAGGGUCAGCUUCAGUAAUCACUCAUCACCUUUUAAAACUCAAGCUAAAUUCUACAGAACAUAAGUCACCCAAAAGUGAAACUUGAGCAGGUGUUUUAGCUAACUUAUAAACACAGAUUUCUUAGACUUUGAGAAACUGUCAAGAGAUUUAUUGCCCAGCCCUGGGCCAUUUGGUCACUUGAGGGAGUUGUCUCUUUUUUAACUCUUCUCUGUACACACUUGCUUUUUCUUCUCUACAACUUCACAUCUCCUCUAACAGUUUUACUUGCUAAAAACAAACCAUUGUUGG